ensembl:lncRNA
GCAUUGCUGCAGCUCUGAAGAGGAGGAGUAACAAAAGCUCAUCAGAGUUCUGACAGAAAUGGUUUUUCCCUGGAAUCUCCCUGGCAGUGAGAGAUCAGCAGAGGACAUCCCGCUUCAGACAGUUGUGGAAACCUGGAGAUGCACACAUUUUAUCACAUUUUAUCACACUUUCUCAAGCCUUCUAAGUUCUGAACAAAUGAACCUGCAUGAUGUAGGAGACUGUGCUGCUCAGCUCAGAGGGACACUCAGCCUCCUGUGGUCCCCAGAGUGGGGUUGCUGUUAUCUCUGCAGGAUGGAUCCAAGGAACAGAAGCAAAAUGUUUCUUUUGCAAGCAGAGGGGUUUAUCUGUUAAUCUCCAUGGGAGCCCUGAUGGAUGUGCCAAUGCCUCUCUGUCAGCUUGUGUACCUCACCUUUCUGUCUCCAGCUGUUUGCAGCCUGCCUGGUAAGAGUUUUAUCAUCUUUGCUUUUCCUGACACAUUUAUUUCAUGUUUUAUUUAUUUCAUUGACAUCCUCACCAGCCAUCAUUUUGGAAUUUCAUGUUUUUUGGAGAAAGAACUGGCAGAAUUGUUAUCCAUGUGCACAGUGCUUUGCAUUGCUGGGUGUCUGGAGAAAGAACUGCCAGAAUUGUUAUCCAUGUGCACAGUGCUUUUCAUUGCUGGGUCUGUUUGCUGAGCUCUGCCCUGCAGCUGCUUUUUGGGUUUAUUUAUCAAAUCCUGAGCUGCUCUACAUGGGUUUAUUGCUCAGAAUUGUUGCAAAGCUCAGAGUUUUUUUUGUUUUGUUUUGUUUUUUUGGGGGUGGGUUUGUUGUUUGGUUUUUUUUUUAAGUUUUUGGGGGUUUUCUCUUUGUUUUUUUGAGGGUUUUUGUUUGGGAUUUUGGGGUGUGUUUUUUGGGUUUUGUUUGGUUUGGUUUUUUUGGGGGGUUUCUGUUUUGCUUCUUUAGGGGUUCUUUUGUUUUUUGGGGUUUUUGGGGGGGGGGGGGGGGGGGGGGGGGGGGGGGGGGGGGGGGGGGGGGGGGGGGGGGGGGGGGGGGGGGGGGGGGGGGGGGGGGGGGGGGGGGGGGGGGGGGGGGGGGGGGGGGGG